UACGUAGGGGGCAAGCGUUGUCCGGAUUUAUUGGGCGUAAAGAGCGUGUAGGCGGCCACACAGGUCAGCUGUGAAAACUCGAGGCUCAACCUCGAGACGUCGGUUGAAACCGUAUGGCUAGGAGUCCGGAAGAGGAGAGUGGAAUUCCCGGUGUAGCGGUGAAAUGCGCAGAUAUCGAGAAGAACACCCGUGGCGAAGGCGGCUCUCUGGGACGGUACUGACGCUGAGACGCGAAAGCGUGGGGAGCGAACAGG
rnacentral:rRNA from 1 species